CCUACGGGAGGCAGCAGUGGGGAAUAUUGCGCAAUGGGCGAAAGCCUGACGCAGCGACGCCGCGUGGAGGAAGACGGCCUUCGGGUUGUAAACUCCUGUCAGAGGUGAAGAACGCCCGCAAGGGCUUGACGGUAACCUCAGAGGAAGCCCCGGCUAACUACGUGCCAGCAGCCGCGGUAAUACGUAGGGGGCGAGCGUUGCUCGGAAUUACUGGGCGUAAAGGGAGUGCAGGCGGCCGGUUAAGUCGAAGAUGAAAUCCCGAGGCUCAACUUCGGAACGGUCUUCGAUACUGAUCGGCUUGAGGCUAAUUGAGGAGAGCGGAAUUCCCGGUGGAGCGGUGAAAUGCGUAGAUAUCGGGAGGAACACCAGAGGCGAAGGCGGCUCUCUAAACUAGUCCUGACGCUGAGACUCGAAAGCUAGGGGAGCAAACGGGAUUAGAUACCCCGGUAGUCAUAGCCGUAAACGAUGGACACUAGAUGUUCUCGCGUUCAUGCGGGAGUGUCGUAGCUAACGCGUUAAAUGUCCCGCCUGGGGAGUACGGUCGCAAGGCUGAAACUCAAAUGAAUUGACGGGGCAUUGAUUUGGU
rnacentral:rRNA from 1 species